UACGGAGGGUGCGAGCGUUGUCCGGAAUCACUGGGCGUAAAGGGCGCGUAGGCGGCUUGUCGCGUCGACUGUGAAAACCCGCGGCUCAACCGCGGGCCUGCAGCCGAUACGGGCAGGCUAGAGUUCGGGUAGGGGAGACUGGAAUUCCCGGUGUAGAGGUGAAAUUCGUAGAUAUCGGGAGGAACACCAGUGGCGAAGGCGGCGACCUGGGCAGAUACUGACACUGAGGUGCGAAAGCGUGGGGAGCAAACAGGG
rnacentral:rRNA from 1 species